rnacentral:rRNA from 1 species
UUUUUUUCUCCCGGUGUGAAAUCUGAUCACAUAGGUCCCUCCAUCAUUWGAACRAAAGGAAMCCAUGGGCCGCGGGGGMGCAACCAGGGUGUCUCUGUUGCUCAAUGAACUUGAUCUUUCAGUACAAAAGCUGAAAUAUUCCCAUAAGACGAGAAGACCCUGUGGAGCUUAAGCUAAAACACUACUAUUAUAUAGUGCCUCCCUUUAGUUGGGGCGACUACGGAACAAAACACAACUUCCCUGCCACACAAUUAACCCCGCAACGACACACAUGUCACUGCACCCCUACCACGACCCAGUACUACUGACUAACGAACCAAGUUACCCCAGGGAUAACAGCGCCAUCCUCUUCUAGAGCCCCUAUCGCCAAGAGGGUUUACGACCUCGAUGUUGGAUCAGGACCUCCUGGUGGUGCAGCCGCUACCAAGGGUUCGUUUGUUCAACGAUUAAUGUC